UAGCAGACACGUCACUUUGCCAUAAGCUGUUGAUGACAAUAUAGAGUGAAACCCCUGUUAUAUUAGGACAGACUAAAUGAGCACUUUACACUGUCAGCUAAGGCUGUGUGUGUAGGUUUCUGUUAUGUCCAUGUAAUAUGGUUUAGAUAAAACCAACAAGAGAAAUGUAUAAUAUUCUUGGUUAAAGCGGCCCUCAUUCACUGCUACACAGGCUUCGAACAAAACCACUCUGCAAAGAUAAAGCUGGUUGUUUUUUCCCCCUUCCUGAGCAUCUGGUAAAUAAGUUAAAGGUGUGCAUCUUUCUUUUUGUUUACACACAAACACACAACAGAACGGCCACAGCACUGAUGAGCAUUCCAUUGAGAGAGGGAGAGAAGGACACUCUCUCUAACUGGCGUGACAGGCCCAUUCGUUUAGCUGGGUGCAAUCCACACCAAAAGUAUCUGCAGCUCCAGCAACCAAAAUCAUGAGGGUUAUAAAAUCAGAUUUCCAGAUUUCUGGCAGUGCUGUAUUUGGAAAGUAUGUGGCGUGCCGUGCACCUUUGAUGCAGCGAAGUGCUCUGUCCGUCGCUAUGGGAGAUCUCUGCCCUGGCCUCGUGCCAGGCAGGGCGGGACGCUAAAAUGCAGAGAUGCGGGGAGGAAUGGUGGUCACUUGUGAGUCUUUCUUUCUUUUCGUUUCUUUCCUUCUUCAUGUGCCGCACUCUAAUUUUAGAGGUGGUGCACUGCACAUGGUGUUUUUUCUGUUUUCCGAGAAGCGUCAGUGAGAUGACGUCCAACAUAGCUGAAACUGUGGCAUCUGUGCUGCAGCUCUGAGCACAUCAAACAGGCCAGCAUUCGUCCACACAGUCAAGAGAAGACAAAAUAUGGAAAUGGCUUUUCCAGAAUCACCGGGAGAGAGGAUAGUCCCAACUGGUCCCAACUGGAUCUGGCAUCAACAGAGUGAGAAAACAGAAAGUUUAGAAAAGAAAAAAAACUGACAUCAUGUGCCAUUAACUAUUCAUAAUAUUAUAUACAUUUAUAAAUAUUGAGUAUUUAUUUAUUCAACAUGUAUUUAGGAAGAUAAGUCAUUGAGGGCUAAUUCUCUUUUACAAUAAUGACCGUAUUAUAAAGCAUGACGAAAUACACGAGUGUAGAAAAACACAUAAAAUCACAUAUGAUCAUGAAGCUAUAUAUUCAGUAACUUAUAAAUUAUUAAAAUGUUUUAAUAAAGCUGUUGAAAACUGUG